rnacentral:rRNA from 1 species
GGUUAAGCGACUAAGCGUACACGGUGGAUGCCCUGGCAGUCAGAGGCGAUGAAGGGCGUGCUAAUCUGCGAUAAGCGCCGGUAAGGUGAUAUGAACCGUUAUAACCGGCGAUACCCGAAUGGGGAAACCCAGUGYRAYUCGUYRCACUAUCRUUAACUGAAUCCAUAGGUUAAYGAGGCGAACCGGGGGAACUGAAACAUCUAAGUACCCCGAGGAAAAGAAAUCAACCGAGAUUCCCCCAGUAGCGGCGAGCGAACGGGGAGGAGCCCAGAGCCUGAAUCAGCAUGUGUGUUAGUGGAAGCGUCUGGAAAGGCGCGCGAUACAGGGUGACAGCCCCGUACACAAAAGCGCAUGUGCUGUGAGCUCGAUGAGUAGGGCGGGACACGUGGUAUCCUGUCUGAAUAUGGGGGGACCAUCCUCCAAGGCUAAAUACUCCUGACUGACCGAUAGUGAACCAGUACCGUGAGGGAAAGGCGAAAAGAACCCCGGCGAGGGGAGUGAAAAAGAACCUGAAACCGUGUACGUACAAGCAGUGGGAGCAC